GACGAGGUGGGCCGAGUGGUUAAGGGCGUUUGGGACUAGCUAAUCCCAAAUGUGCUAUGCACGCGUGGGUUCGAAUCCCAUCCUCGUCG
rnacentral:tRNA from 1 species